UUGAACAUGUGGCAGUCGUCUUAUGUUUUCUCAUUUCAUUAUUAAUCGCCGAUUAUGAAAAUAACUUUUGCAGAUAAAAUAUUAUUGAAGAAUCGGUAAGCGGCGAAACGUACGGAAUAAUGCGAAUUGAGUUAUUAAUUUAUGAUUUGUCGCCAAAGCAGUAAUGUCAUCAGACAAGCCGGGAAAACAUAAACAGACAGCACCAGAAAAGAGACGUACAAGUGGUCAGUUGGAAUCAAUUGCCAGACAUUAGUUUUACACGGCAUUGAGAGGCGA